rnacentral:rRNA from 1 species
UAGGGAAUCUUCGGCAAUGGACGGAAGUCUGACCCGAGCAACGCCGCGUGAGUGAAGAAGGUUUUUCGGAUCGUAAAGCUCUGUUGUAAGAGAAGAACGAGUGUGAGAGUGGAAAGUUCACACUGUGACGGUAUCUUACCAGAAAGGGACGGCUAACUACGUGCCAGCAGCCGCGGUAAUACGUAGGUCCCGAGCGUUAUCCGGAUUUAUUGGGCGUAAAGCGAGCGCAGGCGGUUAGAUAAGUCUGAAGUUAAAGGCUGUGGCUUAACCAUAGUACGCUUUGGAAACUGUUUAACUUGAGUGCAAGAGGGGAGAGUGGAAUUCCAUGUGUAGCGGUGAAAUGCGUAGAUAUAUGGAGGAACACCGGUGACGAAAGCGGCUCUCUGGCUUGUAACUGACGCUGAGGCUCGAAAGCGUGGGGAGCAAACAGGAUUAGAUACCCUGGUAGUCCACGCCGUAAACGAUGAGUGCUAGGUGUUAGACCCUUUCCGGGGUUUAGUGCCGUAGCUAACGCAUUAAGCACUCCGCCUGGGGAUNUNCGGCCGCAAGGUUG